AGAAAUAGUAGUCUAAAUCACAUAGUCAUACACACAUAGCACAUAUACUUGUCCAAAUCACAUAGUCAUACACACAUAGGGAUCUCAUAUAGUCAUACACAGAAAUAUUAGUCCCCUCACAUAGUCAUACACACAUAGCACAUAUACUUGUCCAAAUCACGGUCCAUGUAGUUUCUUAUUCUUCUCCCUCCUCCCACCACCAAGGGAUCUCACCUUCCCCCUCCGUGUCCUCCACCCCCUUCAUUGUUUCCAUAUCUAUGAAAAUGGCAAUAUAAUAGUUAGUCACACAAUACAAAAUGACAACACAAGCAUUGAGCCAAAAGAAUAAGAUCAUAGUAAGUCACAUACGGCAAUGGUCCAUUGAGCCAAGAGAACAUUCCUUCACUACGGCCGCCGCCAAGGCCAAGAUCACCACUGCCUCCACCAUCACCACUGCCUCCACCAUCACCACGGCCUACACCACCACCGCGGCCUCUACCGCCACCACCACGGCCUAUACCACCACCACCACCACGGACUCUACCAACAGCACGGCCAAGACCACCACCACGACCUCUACCACCACCACGGCCAAGACCUUCACCACGACCAACACCAUCACCACGACCUCUACCACCAGCACGACCAAGACCAUCACCACGGCCAAGACCUUCACCACGACCAAGACCAUCACCACGACCUCUACCACCACCACGGCCAAGACCAUCACCACGGCCAAGACCUUCACCACGGCCAAGACCAUCACCACGGCCUCUACCACCACCACGGCCAAGACCAUCACCACGGCCAAGACCACCACCACGGCCUCU
rnacentral:lncRNA from 1 species